rnacentral:rRNA from 1 species
UUUCGAAAGGAACGCUAAUACCGCAUACGUCCUACGGGAGAAAGUGGGGGAUCUUCGGACCUCACGCUAUCAGAUGAGCCUAGGUCGGAUUAGCUAGUUGGUGAGGUAAAGGCUCACCAAGGCGACGAUCCGUAACUGGUCUGAGAGGAUGAUCAGUCACACUGGAACUGAGACACGGUCCAGACUCCUACGGGAGGCAGCAGUGGGGAAUAUUGGACAAUGGGCGAAAGCCUGAUCCAGCCAUGCCGCGUGUGUGAAGAAGGUCUUCGGAUUGUAAAGCACUUUAAGUUGGGAGGAAGGGCAGUAAGCUAAUACCUUGCUGUUUUGACGUUACCGACAGAAUAAGCACCGGCUAACUUCGUGCCAGCAGCCGCGGUAAUACGAAGGGUGCAAGCGUUAAUCGGAAUUACUGGGCGUAAAGCGCGCGUAGGUGGUUCGUUAAGAUGGAUGUGAAAGCCCCGGGCUCAACCUGGGAACUGCAUCCGAAACUGGCGAGCUAGAGUAUGGCAGAGGGCGGUGGAAUUUCCUGUGUAGCGGUGAAAUGCGUAGAUUUAGGAAGGAACACCAGUGGCGUAGGCGACCAC